rnacentral:rRNA from 1 species
UGCAUGUCUAAGUAUAAGCGACUAUACUGUGAAACUGCGAAUGGCUCAUUAAAUCAGUUAUGGUUUAUUUGAUGGUACCUAUUACUUGGAUAACCGUAGUAAUUCUAGAGCUAAUACAUGCAGGAAGACCCGACUUCGGAAGGGUUGUAUUUAUUAGAUAAGAAACCAAUCCAGCUUGCUGGUUGCGUGCCGAGUCACAAUAACUGCUCGAAUCGCAUGACUUUACGUCGGCGAUGGUUCAUUCAAAUUUCUGCCCUAUCAGCUUUCGAUGGUAGGAUCGAGGCCUACCAUGGCGUUUACGGGUAACGGAGAAUUAGGGUUCGAUUCCGGAGAGGGAGCCUGAGAAAUGGCUACCACAUCCAAGGAAGGCAGCAGGCGCGUAAAUUGCCCGAAUCCUGACACAGGGAGGUAGUGACAAGAAAUAACGAUACAGGGCUACAUCUAGUCUUGUAAUUGGAAUGAGUACAAUUUACAUCUCUUAACGAUGAUCAAUUGGAGGGCAAGUCUGGUGCCAGCAGCCGCGGUAAUUCCAGCUCCAAUAGCGUAUAUUAAAGUUGUUGCAGUUAGAACGCUCGUAGUCGGAUUUCGGGGCGUUCCGACCGGUCUGCCGAUGGGUAUGCACUGGCCGGAGUGUCCUUUUUGCCGGAGACCGUGCCUACUCUUAACUGAGCGGGGGCGGGAGACGGCACUUUUACUUUGAAAAAAUCAGAGUGUUUCAAGCAGGCAGCUCGCUCUUGCAUGGAUUAGCAUGGGAUAAUGAAAUAGGACUUUGGUGCUAUUUUGUUGGUUUCGAACACCGAAGUAAUGAUGAGAAGGGACA